rnacentral:rRNA from 1 species
CCUACGGGCGGCAGCAGUGAGGAAUAUUGGUCAAUGGACGAGAGUCUGAACCAGCCAAGUAGCGUGAGGGAUGAAUGCCCUAUGGGUUGUAAACCUCUUUUAUAUGGGAAUAAAAUGUUCCACGUGUGGGUUUAUGUAUGUACCAUAUGAAUAAGGAUCGGCUAACUCCGUGCCAGCAGCCGCGGUAAUACGGAGGAUCCGAGCGUUAUCCGGAUUUAUUGGGUUUAAAGGGAGCGUAGGUGGAUUGUUAAGUCAGAUGUGAAAGUCUGCGGCUCAACCGGAGUAGUGCAGUGGAAACUGGGAGUCUUGAGUGCAGUAGAGGUGGGCGGAAUUCGUGGUGUAGCGGUGAAAUGCUUAGAUAUCACGAAGAACUCCAGUUGCGAAGGCAGUUCACUGGACUGCAACUGACGCUGAGGCUCGAAAGUGUGGGUAUCAAACAGGAUUAGAUACCCGUGUAGUC